CCCCGAGCUCGAAGGGGCGAGCCCCCGCGGCCGCGAGCAUCGCCAAUCGCGCGGCUUGCCUGGGGCAGCGAUCCUGGUAGUGGAGAGAUCUCAGCGACCCAGGGCGUCAUUCCAUGCCAUGCGAUACAGGCGCUACAGAAGUGCAGAGAGGAAGCCGUGGUGGCUGUGGACCUCAGGAUGGCGGCCGUGGAGAGGAUGUUGGCAUUGGCGGCGCAGUGCGUCGCGACGGCGAAAAAGGACCGGCCGUCGAUACAGCGACUAAACGAGCAGUACAAGGGGGUUAAAAUAAAACCUGCAGGAGGUGAGAUUCCUCCUUCUAUCUUUGCGUUAUGUUCCCUGCAGGCAACAUGACCCUGGAGAUGAGAUUCUUGCUGCAGAUGGCGUUUUCCACUUCUAACUAGCAGCCCCAGGAACCCACCAAAGCAAUGUUUUGCAAUCAUGAUAAGCAGAUGGAGCAAGCCUAUGAGGACUUACUGAAUUCGUCAAAGCAGACUCUGGCUAGCAUGAUGGAACUGCAGGAGGCUUUGCUGGAGAAUAACCAGGCUGUAAAGGAUGCCAAUGGUAUCCAUCCAGUUUUUAUUGUACUGACAAACUGUGUAGGCACCGGUGCCAAAGGACAGAUGGGCGGCCUUGAGUUGCAGCUUCUUGACGGCUAAGCGGAGCUGCUGGCCAAUGGCGGGCAAGAGAUCGUGCAAUCCCCAUACAGGCAGCCGCAGUUGACGCCCCCUCGCUAACUCUCUCGUGUGGAGUCCAAUAAUGCCAAGAUAAACCUGAUCUUCAAGACUUGAAGUAUUUCUUGAAGUUUCAAGUGCCUCUACAAUGGGCACCUAUGUUCAAUGAGCUUGUCCUUAUAAUUUUUUAGAGAUGCUUUUUGCUAUUUUCUGGAUGCUUCUGAUGACUAUAAUUUUGGUGCCAACAUAGGAUCCUCAUCCAAAUAUUAGUAUUUUUUUGGUAAUGUGUGUCUGUACCUUAGCUAUCCCAUUUGAUCAUAUUUCGGACAAUAGCAGGAACUUGUUUGUCAAUUUAUUCUUGCCUUAAGACUUAAUGUUAGUUUGUUCACUAGAAAAUAUAUCGUCACAUGCUGUAACAUGUCACAAAUAAUGAUGAUUUAAUGAUCCCAAGUUUGACUGUUAGACAAUCUGAUCUCAGUGACUUGGAAGCUUCACGGGCUUCUUUUCCUCAACAAUUCAAGAGCAUUAGCUUUGCUGUUUGGGAUGUCGGCUGCCAGGACAAGGGGAGCCUUGGCGCAGUGGUAAAGCUGAUGCCUUGUGACCAUGAGGUCACGGGUUCAAGUCCUGGUACCAGCCUCUUGCAGAAAUGCAGGGAAAAGCUACAUACAAAAAGACCCAAGUGGUCGGACCCUUGACCCUCUGCUCAAGCGGGAGCUACAUGCACUGGGUUGCCCCCCCCCCCUUUUUUUUAUUUCCUUUCGGAUUGGAGGCUGCAUUGACAUUUGUAUAGACCUGUAGCACAGUAGCACUACUUGAAAUUGUGUUUCGGUUGUAACUUCUCAAUGGGUUACAUGGUUUGCUUUUUCUAUGGCAUCUUCAUUAUGCAGCAAUCUCAUGGAUUUCUGCUACCCUAAAGUGCAGUACAAACCUGAAGCAAUUUGCUGGUAUAAAAUUCCAAGUUGCAUGCACAAACAGGAAUUAGGGAAGUGGUUUUUAUUUGACAGUGAUAUAUUUGAUGACUAGCAUGCACAAUGUAAUCAAAAUCAGAGCAUUUUACUCUUGAGACGUCACUGAUUAGGAAUUCUAGAAUGUUAAUGUAUUCUUCUGUUCUACGAGCAAAUUAACGUGUUCAGUUUGAACUCCAA